UUAUUUGCUCUUUGAAACGAGGAAUCCUUAGUAAGCACAGGUCACCUAGCUUGUGCUGAUUACGUCCCUGCCCUUUGUAUACACCGCCCGUCGCUACUACCGAUUGAAUGGCUUAGUGAGGCCCUCGGAUCGGAGGUGAGGACUGGCAACAGACCUCGCUUUCAAGAAGUUGGUCAAACUUGGUCAUUUAGAGGAAGUAAAAGUCGUAACAAGGUUUCCGUAGGUGAACCUGCGGAAGGAUCAUU
rnacentral:rRNA from 1 species